CCUACGUGAGGCAGCAGUGAGGAAUUUUGGUCAAUGGCCGGGAGCCUGAACCAGCCAAGUCGCGUGAGGGAAGACGGCCCUACGGGUUGUAAACCUCUUUUGUCAGGGAGCAAGGUGCAGGUCGCGACCUUCUCUGCGCGUACCUUAAGAAAAAGCAUCGGCCAACUCUGUUCCAUCACCCGCCGUAAGCCAGAGGUCUCUAGCGUUGUUCGGAAUCACUGGGCGUAAAGCGUGCGCAGGUGGCUGCGUAAGUCGUGUGUGAAGGGCGCGGGCUCAACCCGCGGACGGCACAUGUGACUGCGAGACUAGAGUGAGGGAGUGGGAGGCGGAAUUCGCGGUGUAGCAGUGAAAUGCGUAGAUAUCGAGAGGAACACUGGUGGCGAAGGCAGCUUCCUGGACAGUAACUGACGCUGAGGCACGAAGGCCAGGGGAGCGAAAGGGAUUAGAUACCCUAGUAGUC
rnacentral:rRNA from 1 species